AAGAAAAAAAAAAGAGACCAUGUUACAGAUCUUGACACCAAGGACUUGGCAAGCUAUGAAGUUCUCAGAAGAAGAAUUUGAGCUAAGAACAGCAAUGCAUUGCUGGGGUUAAAAUUAUAUUUGAGCCGACUCUCGGAGAGUUAUUAUUCAGAGCUUGCACAGAAGUGAAAAAAUAAAGGCACCAAAAAAACCAUUUCUUCUAGGUAAGUCAUCAUUAAGUCAACUCAAGAUGUGUUUCAAGGUAGAAGCAACCCCUCUUGCAUUAUUCAGAUCCAAUUUAGUCUGGGGUGGGCCUAUCAGUGUGAGGUCGGUCACAUCAACAAGGACUAGGAAUAUUUGUUAACCAAAAAAAAAAAAACCUUGGUAAGA
rnacentral:misc_RNA from 1 species